rnacentral:rRNA from 1 species
GACAGAGGGGACAAGCGUUGCUCGGAAUUACUGGGGCGUAAAAGCGUGCGCAGGCGGUUUUGUAAGUCAGAUGUGAAAUCCCCGGGCUUAACCUGGGAACUGCGUUUGAAACUACAAGGCUAGAGUGUGACAGAGGGGGGUGGAAUUCCACGUGUAGCAGUGAAAUGCGUAGAGAUGUGGAGGAACACCGAUGGCGAAGGCAGCCCCCUGGGUUAACACUGACGCUCAGGCACGAAAGCGUGGGGAGCAAACAGG